rnacentral:rRNA from 1 species
GAUGAACGCUGGCGGCGUGCCUAAUACAUGCAAGUCGAGCGAAUGGAUUAAGAGCUUGCUCUUAUGAAGUUAGCGGCGGACGGGUGAGUAACACGUGGGUAACCUGCUCAUAAGACUGGGAUAACUCCGGGAAACCGGGGCUAAUACCGGAUAAUAUUUUGAACUGCAUGGUUCAAAAUUGAAAGGCGGCUUCGGCUGUCACUUAUGGAUGGACCCGCGUCGCAUUAGCUAGUUGGUGAGGUAACGGCUCACCAAGGCAACGAUGCGUAGCCGACCUGAGAGGGUGAUCGGCCACACUGGGACUGAGACACGGCCCAGACUCCUACGGGAGGCAGCAGUAGGGAAUCUUCCGCAAUGGACGAAAGUCUGACGGAGCAACGCCGCGUGAGUGAUGAAGGCUUUCGGGUCGUAAAACUCUGUUGUUAGGGAAGAACAAGUGCUAGUUGAAUAAGCUGGCACCUUGACGGUACCUAACCAGAAAGCCACGGCUAACUCCGUGCCAGCAGCCGCAGUAA